CUGAUAGUUCAGUUGGUUAGAACGCUAGCCUGUCACGCUAGAGGUCGUGGGUUCGAGCCCCAUUC
rnacentral:tRNA from 1 species